rnacentral:tRNA from 1 species
GUUUGAAUAGCUUAUGUAGAGCGCGAUAUUGAAGAUAUCGAGGAAAUUUUUUAUUUUCAAAUA